rnacentral:rRNA from 1 species
CAGCAGCCACGGUAAGACGAACCGUGCGAACGUUAUUCGGAAUCACUGGGCUUAAAGCGCGUGUAGGCGGAUGGGAGCGUCGGCCUCUGAAAUCCCCCGGCUCAACCGGGGAAGUGGAGCCGAAACGACCCGUCUGUAGGGACGUAGGGGGACCUGGAACUUCCGGUGGAGCGGUGAAAUGCGUUGAGAUCGGAAGGAACGCCCGUGGCGAAAGCGAGGUCCUGGACGUCUGCUGACGCUGAGACGCGAAAGCCAGGGGAGCGAACGGGAUUAGAUACCCCCGUAGUCCCUGUCUCUUAUA